rnacentral:rRNA from 1 species
AACUAACUCUGGCGGCAGGCUUAACACAUGCAAGUCGAACGCCCCGCAAGGGGAGUGGCGCACGGGUGAGUAACGCGUGGAUAUCUGCCUUUUGGUUCGGAAUAACCCCGGGAAACUGGGGCUAAUACCGGAUGGUUCCUACGGGAUAAAGAUUUAUCGCCAAAAGAUGAGUCCGCGUACGAUUAGCUAGUUGGUGAGGUAAUGGCUCACCAAGGCGACGAUCGUUAGCUGGUCUGAGAGGACGAUCAGCCACACUGGGACUGAGACACGGCCCAGACUCCUACGGGAGGCAGCAGUGGGGAAUAUUGGACAAUGGGGGCAACCCUGAUCCAGCCAUGCCGCGUGAGUGAUGAAGGCCUUCGGGUUGUAAAGCUCUUUUGGCGGGGACGAUGAUGACGGUACCCGCAGAAUAAGCCCCGGCUAACUUCGUG